CGGUAGUUCAGUAUGCUCGGAAUGCANUGGGUUACACGCGCAAUACAAAGGACGGGACAAUGGNCCGCUGCUCCGAGAGGAAAGAUGGCUAUCCCGAAACCCGUUCGUAGUUCGGAUUGAGGGCUGUAACUCGCCCUCAUGAAGCUGGAUUAGGUAGUAAUCCGCGUCUCAAAAAGGCGCGGUGAAUAUGCNCCCUGCUCCUUGCACACACCGCCCGUCAAACCAUCUUAGUUGGGGGUGGGUGAGGCUGCCUUUUAGUGGGGUAUUCGAGCCUGCCUUCGACAAGGAGGGUUAAGUCGUAACAAGGUAACC
rnacentral:rRNA from 1 species